UGCCAUGUAGUGUUUGCAGAAUAAAUAGGAGGACAUCAGCUUCACCAGUGCAUGUUUUAUGAGGGUAAUAUUCAAAAUCUUGACUCUUUUAUUCUGUGUAUUGUAGCCAAAUUCAUUAAUUUUAAAAUCUGUGUCCUUUCCUCCACAGAUUUUAGACUAAGCAUGAAUUAGCAGUGUGGGUGGCAGAUAAUACACAAACUCUGCAUAGUUCCGGUAAUAUUGUUGGCCUUUCCCCUCCAGUUUAUAAGUCAAUUUUGGCAACAGCAACCUAUGUCAAAUGUGAGCUGCUCUCUGAUCAGGUUACAGCCUACGCAGCAACACGAAUUAAGUUUUUCUCUCGUAGGACUAUGGGUGGAAAAUAUAAUCAAAAUUAGCAGAUAAAUGAAUAAAAUCUCAAGGACAAUGACUGAAUAAACAUGUCUGCUAAGCAAUUUUCUAACAGGAAAAUCUGGCAUCUCUCACGUGAGGAGAAAUACGGGGGAGGAAAGGAACACUUAGCUGCUGAGCCUGAACAAGCAGAGAAACAGAGACUCGUGAGUGAUGUCAAACACCAGGUUCUUGGGCUGCCUCUUGACCUGAUGCCUGACCUGCCCUUGGAUGCCCAGGAUAUGAAAGAUUUCUGCCCGAGUCUGCCCUGGUCUCCUUUCUUCCACUCUGAGAUUUCCCACAUAGAUGCCGAAAAGAUUUUCUUCUUGUAACCUUGAACCCUUCCACAAGCCCAUCUCCAUGCCCACAUUAGUAAGCCUGAGCUUAUGGUCCAAUGGAUGGAUUUUGAACCAUCCCCAACACAUCCUCACUCCUGCUCUUCCCAGUAAGCCCCGAGAGCACCGUCUCUGUGUUGUCCCUGCCAGUUUACAGACCUAAGGCACAGCCUUGGAGAGGGGAGCCCAGCAGGAGCAGAGCAGCAAGCCAAAAGCAAAAUCAUCCCCACGAUCUUACUGUCGGGCUUACUGCAUGAAGAAACCCAACACACAAACCAGGCUUGCCAUGCGGAUGAGGUGUCAGCAGCUUUGAACUCCUCGUCAUGAGGCUCGUGCCCCUGUUUGCAGCUCAGCACUCUGCCACAUCUCCUUUGGCUGGGGCUCGUUUGCGGUGCUGUCAGAGCACCAACAGGUCCCGUAUGGCAGCGCACGGAGUCAAGGCGUUCUCCUGGUGUAUCCAUCACUAUCUCCGUCUCGUUGCCAAGCACUUCAAGCUUUCAUCAGAUCAAUUUUCUCCCUUUGAAAGAAAAGAGGCUUGUUAACUUGUGUGUGGGGCAAUGGGAAGCACUCACCUGCCUCUCCCCAGGGUGCUGUGCAGGCGUGGAGGGAUUUGGGAAACGCGGUGAAAGCAGCUCAGGGUUCUGGCUGUGCUCACUGUAAGCCUUUGAAAUACUGAGACUGGCUCAGUGGCUGGAUGGAGGCUUGCAAAGGGGUGGACAGAUGACCAAAUGUCUGUAAUAGGUGGGUUUUAUGAGCUUCUGCUCUUUUCUGGAUGCUUGCCUUCUGCAUGGGCUUCUCAUUCCCAGACUCAUCGCUUUGAGAAGGUGAAGGCAGGGAAGUGGGGAAACACAGGCUGGAUUUUGCCCAUGUCUCAUUGGAGAGGGAAAGUCGUGGGGUAUCAGCAAGGGGCUCUGUGUCCCUCAGGUCUGUGUGGGGCCAGUCCUGAAUGUGUUUUUUUUCUGGUUCUGCCUUCAGCUCUGGUUCCUCAUCCCAAAGCCCUCCCUGCCAGGCCUCCUGUUCUCCCCACUGACCGCCCACUGCUCUGAAAUCACUCCCCAUGGAGUUGAGCAGUUCAAAGACAACAGAGGCACCAGAUUAAUCAUUCCUCCCCUGCUUCUCUCCCCAGCCCAAAUGGCUAAAGUGUCUUUAUUAUUAAAAAACAGAAUAAAACAGAGCAACACACACAAGAAAAGCCCUAGCGAGGGAGACAGACACAAAGCAAAGGAAAAGGAAAGGGUUAGGCUGCAAGCUGCAAAUAAGCACCAUCAAUCAUAGUGCAGUCAAAAAAUGUACAUGUGUUGGUACCUGCGCGUUAUUGGCAGGACUCAAGAAGCCUCCUGAGUACAAUCUUCAGGGCUCCUUAGAUAAAUAAAUAAAUAAAAAAAUUCCAUGUCCCUCUGAAAAACUGCUUGUCAGCACCGGAAUGGCAGGUGCAUUAACUCCCUAAGAACCAGAUUAUGCCCUGCACGGCAAAAAAAUGCAAACACAGAGAAAUAAGAUGUCAGUCAACUCCUGUAUCCUCCUGGUGUUUUUGUUGUUGUUUAUUUGUUUGUUUUGAUGAAAAGUACUUUGAAAUAUAAAUGCAGUCCUUUGUACAAAUGGAUCCAGGAAAGAGAGACAUACAAAUGCAUUCGUGGUCCAGCUAUCCUGCUUGCAUAUUUACCCUAAAUUUGCAUCUGCCCAACAUAUAAAUUUUAUUUUCUUUUAGUACUCCACAACGAUAGCUGAAAAGUUAAGAUUUGGUUAGGAAAUAGCCUCUACUGCUGCUCUGAUCUCGAGUCCCUUGGUGGGCUUCCCAUCCCCUCCUGUAAUCCUGCCAGACCUUGACACAUCCCAGUGCCACCUGGCUGCCUGCCCACCCCUUGCCUUGGCUCCUCUUAGCUCUGAAAUGUUUCCUCUAAACACCCACCUCUUCGAGAGCUACUGUCUUUUUCCCUUAGACCUAUACUGCACUCUCCCUUUCCUUGUCUUUUCUUUUAUCCUCUUUAGCUGAGGACUUCAAGUUGCUGGUGAUAUGGCCUGGGCUAUUCUGCAGAUGUGCUCUACAUCUCUGGAGCUGCUCCCGUCCUUCUGCUCCUCCCUGCUCCUUUUCAUAUAUAUAUAUAAGAAUAUAUAUAUAAUAUUCAUAUAUAUAUAUAAAGUAUAUAUAUUGUGUGCAUAUCUAUAACAUAUAUACAUUUUUUUUCCAGUGGAAGCUGUGAAGAAGCAAGUUCCUCUCCCAGGAUGAGUAAAGUUUGCAUGACCUUGUGCCAUGUAGAUAAAUGUUUUUGUGCAAAAGGCCAUUAGCCCUUCCCUGAACCUGGCAAUGUGUUUCUAAGAUUCUUAUCACAUGUAGAAAGACACCAAUUACUUUUAGCUGUGGGUGAGCCAGCUGUUCCUAGGACAACCUUCAGCCCUCCCAAGGACAGCAGAGGUGUCUGCUUGUUCCUGCUCAACCCUCCUGGGGACCAGGGCUGGGCGGCUCUUGGGGCUGGGUGAUGGUUGAGGUGAGUGUGGUGGAGUCGCACAGGAGGGCUGCAUCCCAGUGCCUGACCUAGCCAUGCCUGGACCAGGGAUAAUUUGGCAUCAGCACAGAGAAGCUGGCAUGAUGACAGUGACCCUGGGUGGCCACCUGGGCCAAACUCAUCACCUGGAGCCCAAAGACACUUUGCUUCAUUGCAAAUUCACAGAUCCAUUUGUUUCUCUCUGGGGGGUGUUUUGAUAAGAUAGGCCUGGUGCUACACCUUCUGUUGUGUAAUGGAGACGUUUCUAAAAGAUUUUUUUUUUUUUUUUCUUGGCUUGAUUUUAAAUUAAUCAGGCUCAAAGAUUUAUGAGCCUCUGAAAACUGUUUCUUCAGGGAUGCCCCUUGAUUGCACUGAAGGCAGAGUGGAGAUCUGAAUUUUCAGCAUGGCUUCCUGUCGGAAACAGAUCAAUAGCCUCAUAAGGAGGAUCUUGUUUCAGAGUGGGAAAACAACAAUUAAGCUGGCAUUUAUCUGUUACUGAUUCAGGAUAACAAAAACAAAAAAAUCACGUUACAGAAAUGUACAGAAGUAGGCUUGUCUGCCUUAUCCAUGUCUGAACGAAUUCAGAGCAGGAUCUCCAAAGGCAGCAAAACUCUGUCGCAAUAUUGAAACAGUCAUAAAAUGUAGCUGAAGCUUUUCUGUCAGGUGGACGAGCUGUGCCUUCUUAAUUUUGGGGUUUUUGCUCUCUUUUCCUCACAGCAUCUCACCUGAAUCCUUGUGCUUCCCAGUGACGGCAGAGCCUGGCCACCCAUGCUGCAGAGAUGACAGGUUGGAGGACAAGAGCAGGGCUGGGGCCGUCCCCAGGGCUGCUGUACAUGGCCAGAACAUCAGGUUCGGAGGCUCUCCAUCAGCAUGCUGUGAAGGUCAUAAAAUAGCGAGCGGCAGAAGUAACCAGAGCCUGGGGCUGGCCCGGAUCGCUCUUUCCUUUCAGAAUUAAGGAGGCUGCUCGGAGCUGCUUGCGAAGCGAUUGCAUUGAAGAACCCCAAACUGGCUUCCACGGGGAACCGUGGCCUCCUUGCUCUGCGAUAUGCCCUCCUCCGGUCCAGCAGCUUUCUCUUCCAGACCACAGAUUUAUUUAAUUUAGGUCCUACUGUUGGCAGAGGUUUUGCAGUGGGCUGUGGGUUAGGAAAAAGUAAAGAAUUUUUCCUUAAGCAAAAAGGAGAUGACAUUGCACAGAAAAAAUAGAGCAAAGAAUAGUUUGUUGGCCGUUUUUCUUUUCUGCCUUGCUUCUGUGUGUGAUGCCAGCAAAAGGAAUUGCAUUUUGGAGUGAUUUAAUGAAAAAAUGACUUUUAUUUCUAACUCCUUUGCCUGCUUCAGAGCAGAAGGGCCACACGAUGGAGCUCUGGGGCUUCCGUCGGGGCCUGCCUGGAUUCACGCAUAAAAAGCCGUUUGGAGACCUUGAAAUUCUGGUUUUUAUUAAUUUUUCACUCAGUUUAAUUUUUACAUUCAUUUUAAAAUGGUAAAUGUUCUAGACAUUAUAAUUGUAAAAUGUAAUUUAUGGUUGCUAGCUGAAGGUAUUUACUUUUGCUUUCUUAAGAUUGGAACUUUUAUUUUUAUUUUUAUGACUGUAACAGGGUAACAUUUUUCAAUCUCGUGAGAGGCUGGCAUCCCAGAGACAGCCUCUGGGAGUUGGACCAUAUAAUUCUUCCAAAUGACACCCUGACUGUGUUGGGGAAGCUCUCAGGCCUCUCCAGGUCUAUAUGCAAAUAUUAAGCACCGGCCUUCCUGCACGUGUGAGAGAAUAAAUGAUGUUUUGGAGUGCUCCUUGUUCCUGGUUAUCAGUGAGCACUCAGCUGGUAAAAUUAAACCAGUGCAGUGCGUUUGAAAAAGUGGAUUCUUCAAUUAGAAUAAAAGCAUGUAAAAUCCCAAA